AUGAAAUUGAAGGAAUAAAUAUUUUUAAUUAAAUAAUUAAAAAAUUUUUUUUCCAUUACAAUCGAUCAAGUAGAUUAAAAUUUUCUUGAGCCAAUCAAGAAGCUAUCUACUUGAUAAUUAAGAAUUAAAUUAUUGCAUACGCCCAAUUCAUUCACAAAUCAUUCAAAACUAUUAUUGUUUUAUUAUAAAGAAGAAAUUACGCAUGUAGGAAUUAUAGGUUUCUUGAAUUUCUCGUUUUUUACUUGAAAAUCUAAAAAAAAAAACUUUAUUGCAUCAUAUUGCAUUAUAUUAUAUAUCGUCGCUUAUAUCCUUCGCUAUCACAAAUAGAUUUAAAUCGAUCGGUUUCUGUGCAAAUGUCGAAAGUAAUACGUAGAGAUAAUUCAAGAACAAUUUCCAGGAUAAUAUCAUUGUACGGAUUGAUGGACGCUGUACGGAUUAGGUAGAGCCUCGACUUUUACCUUUGAUAAUGAGAUUUGCGGCUCCAAGUCAACUUCCUCUCGGAUUACGAUCGCUACUGCACGGUAGUCUACAAUACUUUCUACCUUCUCUCCUUCCCUUUGAAUUAAAGUUUUUCUCCCCGAAUUGCCAACGAUCUCACAGCGACAAUCUGAAAGAAAACGUCGCCUUAACGAGAACAUUUCGGAGACAAUCUUUCCUCCUUCCUUCCUUCCUUCCUUCCUUCCUUUCUUAAACCAUCCAUCAACCCGGGGACAAAGCAUCGAUGUCAUUGUUAGCGUGUUGUAACGAGACGAUCCGUGAUGGAUACCGUUCUAAUGAAUUCGAUAAUUAGGACGAUAAUUAGAGGGACCUUUCUUCCACAGGACGACAGCCGAAAAGUCGAGUUCAAUUAGAAACGACCGUGUCACGUGACGUGAGGGAAAGUACAGGAGAUUUCGAGGAAUCGAGAAGAAGAGGUGGAGAACAAGUGCCGUUUCCUGUGUAUGGUGAUCGAAUAAGCCGAUCCUUCGUUUUACCGAGAAAAGGAAAGCCAUCGAUUAUUUUGUGUAUAUAUAUACACGUGUAUAUGUAUACGUAUGGAUACACUUCUUUCUUUCGUGCACUUUUGAAUUGUUGAUCCAAAUUUCGUUCCGGGUGAAAGGACGUAGAUAUAAAGUUUCGGGUGAAAAAAAAUUGUGAAAGGAUAAUCCGCCUCGGUGAUGAUGAAUAAUUGAUUAGGGACUUUUCGAGAAGUAAGAAGUAUUGCAUUGCUAAUCGUAGAAAUCUAAUUGAUUCUUUAAAGGAAUUCUUUGAGAUUCGUUACGAAGAGGAUGUUUACUUUUUAUUUCUUAAGUCACGGAAGAGGGUUGUCAAAGGGAUGGUUUUCACUCGCAAAAAAUAUUUCAUUUUAGAGGCACUGGAAGAAGUUGCGAGAAAUCUCCAUUUUCCAAUAUCUACUCCAAUACUUUUUAUAUCUUGUAUGCUUAAACUUGAUAUUCUAGACUUGUCUAUACUACAUUCUUUUGAACUUGUCGAACAGAACGGGACAACUUCAUUCAUCUUCUCUAAGAACCUUAGAUCUCCAUUCGAUACUAAACUUUUAAAUGGUUAUAAUAAAUUACACAAUUUCGAUCUUAAAGAUCUUUCUCCAAUUUUUAAAUCUCCACUUUUCGGAAAGUAAAUUUAAUUAAUUUCGAUAAAUAGUUUGCGUUGAAUUAAAAGUUUGUUUCGAAUCACUUGCUAUCAAGUAAUACGAGUCAAUUCUUCGUUUCUAAAUUUCUACUUUCAUAAUGCAUACUGUUUGCCAAUCAUUAUCUUCCACGUUGAUAGCGAUUCCUUUUACAAUACCAGUGCCAUUAUGAAAAGGGUGCGGUCACAUUAAAACGAAAUAGGAAACGUAUCUGUAGUGUAGCGUAGCAGUUCGAUUCUACAGUAGUGGAACUGCUUGCAUAGUAGGAAUAGUAUAUUAGUGAAAGUCGUUGAAUGGUAAGAAAAAUGUGUUGAUCUAUUUACAUUUUAUCGGUUUUAGUGCACAAAUACGCGUGAUGUUACGUAACGAGGAACACGAUAUGUUAAUGCUGUCAUCUACAUACGUAUAUAUAUAUAUAUAUAUGUAUGUUUGAAAAUAAUGCGCAUAUAAAUAUUGUAAAUGCUGGAACGCUACGCCUGUAUCGUAAAUGUCCAGGCUAAUGAUGCCGAAGGAAUUAUAAAAUGACGGAAUAUAAAACAGAGUGGACCGUUUCAACUCAGUCGCGACUUUAAACGUAAUUUAAAUGCUGUCAAUCCUUAUACCUGUAAUUCUCAUUAUUAUUCAAUUUCUUAGUAACAAGUCGACAUCAAAUAUGCGAUGUAACGAUGAUUUCUUUGAAUUAUUUGAACAUUUUUAUAUUUCGAGGGAAUAAUUUUAAAUAAAGCAAAUAUUCGAGAAUUAAAGAAAAAAGACGAAACUUUUUAUUCAUGUGUAACGAUAUAUAGGUAUAUCAGCGUCUGGAAAAAUUGGCAGGUAUUGAAAUAAUAAUAAGGAUCGAUAUGGGCGUAAGUAAGAAUUUUUAUAACUUAAUUCGCGCUUAUUUUCCUUCCUUUCCCGUAUUUUAAUAUCAAUAAGUAGUUAAACUAGUUUAUAUAAAUAUAUACGUCUCAAUAAAAUUCAGAUAGCCUUAUUUCAUAAAUUAAUUUUCUCUUACUUUUCUUCAUUUCAAUCGUUUUAUAUUUUCAUAUUCUAUAGUAAUAAACAUCUAAGCUUAAUUAUAUUCAUGCUUGCAUCUAUGUCACGUUUAAUUACGUUGCAAUAAUAAUCUUAUAAAUUAAUUUACUUUCCUUUUUUUAUCGUGCCUUUUAUAAAUCGGAUUAUCGAUUAGGAUUCUACUAUUCAAUAAAUAAAUGGCCGUUUCGCGAAAUACAUUUGAAAUCAUUCGUGAUACCACAUCCGUGGUAUAAAUGUCACGCGUUAAGUUAGACGCGUGACGCGAAGAUUUCCCUUUGCGACAUAAAUCACGGGAAGGAAACUGUUUGGUCGCGUUCUAGAACUCGAAUAAGGCGAACGAGAUGAAAGUUUUACUCUUGGUUAGCGAUGAAAAAUAACAAGAAGCAACUCGCGUAGCUUAAUUAAUCUUUCAGGGGCAACUUACUUGUCUGAAAAGAGGUUUUUCAAUGGGAAUAACGGAAAUAUUCCUUUUAAUUUUACAGAUUCAUUCUUCUGAUCUAACCAUCAUCAGGAGAAAUAAAAUCGUACAAGGAUUAUCAAGAUUUUCAUUCUUUUUUUUUUUCGAUGAAGAUUCUAUGGAUGAAAUAUUUCAUCCUAAUUUUAUUAUAUUUUCAUAUCGAUCGUAUUAAAAUUUUUUCAAAGCAAUACUUCCUUCGAUUCGAUAAUUUUUCUUCUUUCUCGAUUAGGAAAGAAGCGAAAUCGUAAAAUAUUUACCACGUUUGUUUUUCCAUCUUUCGUAUUACUGACCGAUUUCUAUAAGAGGUCGUUUUACAUAAACGAGUAUUUAUUUUUAGCUCAUUCCACUGUCUUAACCAGUCUCGUCGACUUUUCAUGUUGCCGAUAAGCCGCCUUUGCCUGUAACAGUUUCGCCUACGUAUCUCGACGAGUAGAGCCGUGCGACUUCCGUGUAUGACGACUACGUCUUUGUGGUCUAUUGUCCGACUCUCGAAGUCUUUCCAUUUUUCCUGCUGGAAUGGAAGUCCACCGGUUAAGAAAAUACCUACGCGGAGAACGUGCAAAUAUAAAGAUAAUAUUUUUAUGUCACGCAGUGGAGGAACUAACUUUGCAGCCUUUUUGCCGUUAUUCCUUUUAAUGUUACAAAUGUUGCACGGGAGAUGUAAUAGGAUUAUGAUAAUAUUGCUGGUUAAGAUUAAGCGCGGUAAAAGUUAUAUUUUUUCCAAGUAAAACUCGAAUCGAUAUAACGAGAAACGCAGGUUCCAUUUUACGUAAAAGAUAGAGAAAAUAUUGAAAUUUAAUUAUGCAACAAAUUUACAAUGCAAUCAACCGUUGGAAGUAUUAUUUAUGAGAAAAGAAAUUUAUAAGGGAAUAUGAUAAAACUCAGUUUAAUUGACUUCUAAUAACUACGAACAUAUAGUCAAUUAAAGGAACCGAAUCGUGCGUCUCAUAAAUCAAAUGAGUAUUAUUGAUGUUCAUAUAAAGAGAGGAUUUUAAUUAUUAAAUAUCAACUCAUAGGAAACGAGGAGAAGGAUAUGCAGAGAAAAUGCAAUAAAUAUGGAAAAAAAUAAAUUUCACGUGUAUAUACCAUUCAAUUUAGAUUUUCAAAUGGGAAACAUAAAAUAAAAUAUAAAAUAUAAAAAUAAAAUAAAAUAUAAAUAUACAUCCACGAUUAUAUUUGAUUUCUUCGACUCAAUAAUAAAAAUGUUUUUGUUUCGAAUUGUAACAUUGAAAAAAGACACUUGAUCAACUUUUAUUGAUCCAUCUCACGUGAUUACUAAAAGAAUCUUAAUUAAUUACGCAUAUAAAACGUAUCGAAGAAUGUACGUAUUAUUUGCAAUCAAAAUUGCAUAUCGCUUCGUGUCUCAUAAUUUUCGUCAAAUUAUAAACUUCCCUUAUCUCCACGAAAUAUUAUUCCAAUAAUUGGAAUUGUUAAUUAUCCAACAAGACAAAACGGUCGAAAUUGGAUCAAAAUUAUCUGCAUUCUUUGCACACGAUAAUUUAUUAUGCGCAUUUCAAGUAAUUGGAUCCCACUAAUUCACCGUUAAAAAUAUUUUAUCACUUUAGAAAGGAAUCGUAUAUCGAAUAUAUCAAUAUAUAAAUUCUGUCCGUGCUUUUUAGCUUCUUAACCCAUUGGGUGUGAGAUCAAAGAAAACCGUGAUCGUACUGCAUCGAUCCGAGCAGAGUUGGGUUCGCGGCUCUUUUUAUUCCGAGUUGCACAGCUUUCCCUUUCUUUCCCCUGAGAAAUUUAGCAAUAAUUAUGUCGCUUAACCGUUACUCCAGUCUCCGUUACGCUACGUCGUUACGAUACUAAACGAUCGAAGAAAUUGGCGUGUGUAUCUGUUUCGCGUAAUUAUUUCUAAAAAAAAUGAUCGUUUCUCGAACGGAACGAUAAUACACAACGCACCAAUGUGUUUAUUCGUUUCUCCGUAUGAUGGAUCGAUUGUGCGAAACGAGAGGAAUUGAAAGGAAGAUUGAAUCCGAUUACAUGAAAAAUCAUUAAUUAUACAUUGUCGAGUAAGUAGAUUUAAACUUCGCUUAUUAAUAUUUAACGGCCGAUAUAUCGAUCAUUUAUCUCGUUGAACUUGUCCCCCCCGUGCUUCGGACAGACUUUCUCGAUCUAUAUAUCAACUCUCUUGAAAAAGGGGAGAGAAAAGAAGGAAACGGAUGGAAAGGAAAAGGCGAGAAAAAUUCAAGCAUGAAUUAUGACAAACGGUGUGUAUUGAUAGCGGAGUGAAUGUUGGAAGCUUUCCUUUUGAAUUAACGCCGGUUUCUCGUGAGUGAAUGAUGCUCGAAGGUCUCUGACAAGGAGAGUGCACGACCUCUUCUCGAGUCUUGUGUUGUGGAUUCGAUUGAGAUUGAAACAAGUUCGUUUCAACCGCUUCAAUACUCUUCUCUUCGAGAUAAGAAGUGUUAAGUAUUUUCAAAUUUUAUGUUUCGAUAAAAUUGUGAAAAAUUCAUAUUCUUUCUGAUGUCUCUCCAUGAUUACUCGUUAAAAGGAAAGUUAUAUAAAAUAUUCAACAACUUUUACAUAUUUUAUCAAAAAUGCAUACGAGAAUGCGUGGUGAGAAGCGCGACUUCCCGUCAAUAAAUCUAAGAGUGACACGUACAUCGAAUCGAGCGCCAGACAAAACAAACGUGUCCAUUCCAGACUAUAGACGUCGAUAGAAUAACGAUGGAAUAACCACUGUCGUUUCUACUGCCGUAUUCCGGCAGCGUGUCACCGGAAGACACGCAUAAAAAUGUUAGAUCGGACGUGGUCCGGGACGAACGCGAAAAACAAAACCGACUUUCAUAUGAUAAUAAGAAUUCUCUAAUAAAUAACAGACACACACACGCCUCCAAUUUACGUUUAACUUUCACGCUGAAACUUUUCGUUCUUUUUUUCUUUCUUCUUCUUCUUUUUGAAAGAAGAAGUUCAAGCGCGCUAAGAAAUCUUGAUUCGAAGUUGUGGAGUUAUUUCGUUGGUUGCUGGAUCAAGAGGUUAUCUCGCUUGGAAAUUCGUUUCGAGUCGUCAUGAUACGGGGAUCGUUCGUUAAAAGGAAGCUGUGAGUAAAUUACGUACGCGUUUUCCACGUGGAAACGAGUUUCGACUUGGAAUAAGAAAGUUUUAAACGAUUUUAGACAGAAAUUGCUUCUCUUUCUGUCUAAACAAGGUCGCAAAUAAUUCUUGCUUUUUAUCGCGAGCAUGUUCGUUCGCUCUUUAAUUCGAAAUCGGUUUGCAGGAAGAAAAAGUUUGGAGAGAAAGAAGUUUAGAGAGAAGUUUUUUUUUUUUAGAGAGGAAUAUGAAAGCGAAGUAAAAUUUUAUGAUAGAUGGUUGCGACAUUUUUAAUUCAUAGGUAUGAUCGUUUUAUCUUAUUUUGAUUAUUUCCUUUUUUUUUAGAGUGAACGUGAAAUUUUAAUAAAUAAUUGACUCGAUGUUCAACGAUUUUGUUUUUUCACGUUGAUCACGUUCGAAAAUUAAUGGUUAUAUAGACACUGAUAGGGAAUUAAUGAUCAUUGACUUUUUUCAGGAAUCAAACAUUCAGGUUCCGCGAAAAAUUUGUAAAAAAUCUUAUACCGAUGAAAUCAUUUGAAACGAAAUAUCGUUCGAAAAACGAAACGUUGCACGAUCUACUAACUUGCGUAAUAUUUGCAUAAUAUUCGUUUUUUCAAAUGUUUCUAAAAUUUGAAAAAAACGCAAAGCAUAGACUGGUUAUAUUUAUUAUUGAGCAACCGCGUAAUUACGGAUUUUCUAAAUGAUUCGUCGCAAGAAAUGAAAAAUGAGAUCGAAUUCUUAGAGUUUCAAAAAGUUUGGUAAAUACACAAGUUCGCUACACUCGUCUAAAGGGAUUUUUUUUCUAAAAUUUUGCAUUUUAUUUAUCAAAAAUAUUUAAAAAUAAACCACAAGAUCGAUAUCGAUUUAUUAUUAAUUAAAUAUUUUCUUUCUUUUUUUUAGGAUCCAAAGGAUCGAUGUCGAAUUUUUGUUGAAUCUCAAGUGGAACAGGUCAACGUUAUUCGCGUGCAUCCAUUCUCGUUACGUCAUCGGAGAGACGAGAGAAGCAGGAUAUUUGCGCUCGUGUUUCAAUUGACGCGACGAGGGCGGAAUUUACAGCUCAUCAGGGAAAUAAAAACGAACGAUACUUGAUUUCAUCGCUGCCCGUGUUUCCGCUGUUAAUCAUAAUGCACAGAUUGGCGCAUCGGCGUUAAAUUGCGAGAAACCAACGAAGCUUAAUACGCUUCUUUUCUAUGUGAAUUACGAGGAUGCCUUGAAAAACAUCCGACUCGUCGAGUUCAACUCCUAUGAUUAACAUUGUUGAAACUUUGCUCGUAAACGGGUCGAGACAUCUGCGAGAAAGUCCGGAAUUCAAUGUUCUCGUUCGAAUCUCGGGAAAAAAUUGAUGAGGUUUUCACUUUCCUUUCUUGGAAAAAAAGAUUGUUCAAAACUCGAAAUUGUAUCGAUUGUAAAAUCAUUAUUUGUCUCUCAUCGUUAUAAUAAGUCAUUCUUUUUAAUCGCCUUGGAAUUUUUCAACUUUUUAUCAUCAGAAUCUCUAUACCAAUCUGAUUCUUUAUUAUAAAAUAUAUAGUUGCAAUUUGAAUUUUAAAGCGAAUGAAGAUUGUUAAAUGAGCGUGAUAUGUACGAAAGUUGGGCAGACAAUUAUUCAACUAGAAUUUUUUUUUUUUCUUCUUUCCCCAUCCAUAUAAACGUUAUUACUAUCCUAUUUACCAGACCGUGAAUCCAGUUUCUACAACUAUAUUAAUCAUUUUCUGAAAUGUUGAUAUUUUCACGAUUAUCAAAUUAAUCAAAAUGUUCUGUAACGAUGUUUAAUUUAACAAUAUUUUAACGAAAAUUAUUCUCUUGAGAUAUUUUCGAACGAAAGGAUCGAUUUAUAAGAAAAAAGAAAGGAAAAUCUAGCGACAAAAUUGUUUCAAAAGCUUAAAUAAUAAAUCGAUAUUUUAAACCGCAAUAUCGUUCACCGUGAAAGAAUGAAAGAAGAAAAAUUCCAACGUUUAAUUGAUUCGAUAUUAUUACGAUAUCGCGCGCAUAUUAAAGCGAUAUUUUUUUUUUUUUUUUUUAUUCAACAACGUGAAAUUUAUGUUACGAGUCGUCGAGUUAAUAUUGGUUUUAAGUAUCAUGUAAUAACGUGUCGAAAUUAAAUGCAUCGAUAAAAGAAAAUAAUAUAAUAAAAGUUUUCACACGCUGCAAAUCUCAUGCCGCUAUUUAAUAGCGAUAUAAAUCUUUCGACGAGAAUUCCCACUGUUACGAUACAUUUGUUAUAACAGAAAUUGGAAAGAUGGAUUAAAACGAAAAAAUUUUUUUCCACUCGUUAUUCCGACUUUUAAUCCCGAAACGCGCAUAAACGUAAUAAUAAGGAUUAAGGUUUGACACCAUCUUUCUGCAAAUGAACGAAAUAUGUACGUACAUGUUGGAAUAUUCUCAUUUUUCGUUCACUGCAUCAGAAAUCGCAUAUCUUAGCUUUUCGUGUGCGGUCCACGUGGUUAGCGCAACGAAAGUCAUUAUCAUAAUUUUUUUUUUUUAAGAAACUGUUAUUAGUUAUUCGUCUGAAUUAACUAGUGUGGGUUAUUACCGUUUGUAUUACGAGUAAGAAAUUACUCGUUGAAAAUGAAUUAAGACAUAUAUCAAAACUAAGGCACGAAAUAAAUAUUCUUGGUUUCGUGCGAGAAGAGAAAUUUGAUAUAAAUUUUCCGUUCGAAAGAUAAAAUUGGAUAUCUUAUUAGAAAAUUUCAGAAAUUUCUUCCUCUUGUUCAUUCACGGUUAAAGAAUUAAGACACGAGCCCGAGUUAAUAUUAAUUAACAAUUUAGAAAACGUUUCACAGACUCGUUAAAACAGCACAAUUCACUUUAGGCGUAGAUAUGCAAAAUUAAGCAUCGCCUGAAGCAUAACUUGCGAAUGUAAAUUUGAGUUGAGCAGAAGUAACAAUGAGCUGUAGUUGUAAUGAGAAAAUUCAUUUGCAGAUCGUCUCAAUUUGUCGCCUCGAGUUGAAUGAAAGAUGUCUACGGUGUUACUAAGCCCAUUAUCCCUGAUAAAAAUCAGCGUCUUUUGUUUUUCUUUUUACAUAAGAAGUUUUACGUGUGAAAUUAAAAAGUGUAACUGUCCUAAAUAUGUAAGAGUUAGUUACGUUAUUAUUGCGGAUGUUAUUUCCUAUUGGAUAGAAUUCAUAUUUUUCACACCUUCUUGAGUUUAAACAAAAAAAAAAAAAAAAAAUACCGAGAAAGAUUGCAUCUUUUGCACGUGAUAAUUACGUGUUAAAUUAUGUUUAAUAUAUUGAAACGAAUAUAUACAUAUAUAGAUAUAAAACAGAGAAUAAUAUUUCAAUAUGAGGAAGAUUUCAGGAACAAGGAAUAUUUGAAAAGUGGAAAAAUUUUUGAAAAUAAAUCUAAUAUCUCAAGAGUAAGGAAUAUUUCAACGAAGAUCAUUUCAGGAAUAAAAGAAACUUUUUCGAUGGGAAUUAAAAGAAAAAAAAGAAUUUCUUUUAGAAAUGAGAAAUAUUUUAAAACAAGAUUCGAUCUUGUAUCAAUUUCAUGAAUAUGCAAAUGGUUAAUUGAAUUCCAUUCUUGGAAUUGUCCCAACUCCCGAAUUCCGGUUUACGUGACAUAAGUCACAGAUUUCGGCCGAGAAAAAGAAUACUCCCCGAUGCCUGAAGAAAUUUUAUUUCGUCGCCAAUUAAAGAUCGCUUUCUUUUUCAACGAAUCCCAGAUUAACAUUGGGAGGACGGUAGUUCGGUUAAUCUCUCGAACACGUGUUUCUUUUCUUUCUUUCUUUCUUUUUUUUCUUUUUUGCGUAUUUUCCGAAACACCUUUCACCGAAAAUUGGUCGUAUUGGUCGUAUAGAUUGGUCAUAUAGAUUGAAUUGGCAGAAGAAUUUUUUAAUUAAUAUGGAAGAGGAUAAAUUCGCGUUUGAAAUAUUCGAGAGAUUAAAGAAAAAUACACCUUCGUAUGUAUGAAACAUUUUCUUUCUUUCGUGUACCAGUGAAAGAAAGAAUGCGUUUGAUUUGACAUUUAAUUAUGAAGAAAAAUGUUCGUCGAUGCGUAUUAUUCAUGUAUUUUGCGUUAUAAAAACGUUUAACGAGUGAAAACACGAUUUUGCUAUUUAUUACAUUAUUUAUUUAACGUCUAAUUUAUUGCGUCUAAUUUCUAGUUUGCAUAUAAGGAAAUAUUUUAAUUACGAAGAAAAUAAAAUAUCCUUCAUUCACUUUCUUUUGUUUUCAAUUUGAAUAUAGCAAUACCGCAUAUAAUUACAUUCCAUACUGUCUAUCACAAAAAAUAUAUUAUAGCUAUUAUUACAAUACUUUCUUUCAUUUUCAAAUUGAAGAAUAAAUUUCACCACUGUACAAUUAUAUUCCUUCAUCGUGUACAAGAAUGUAUUUGUAAUAUGGUAAAACGAAAUCGUGUAAAAGUAAGAUCGGUUGAUUACAUCGGAUCUUUUAUCUAUAAAUUUUACAAGAAACACGGAGAAAAGAAAAACGGAAUCGACGAAUAUCUGUAUGUCCCUCUCCUAACUUAUUCCACGCAAGGAGCGAGCUCCGCGUUUAUCUACGUGUUACUUAUAGAAUAGUCAUGAACCCCGUAAUUGCAUCAAUUACCCAGGCUUGCUUACCGGUUACCGGUUUAACCGUGGCAAGAAACCGAUCGAUCGAUUUAUGUAUUCUAUAUAUGAACCGAAUCGAGUUUUUAAUCAUUGCGGUCGAUUCGCAAAAUGUUGUUUAUUUAAUUCGUGUAAUAAUUUGUUUCCUAUCUAUCGAAUGCCCGCCCUGCGUAGAAUUUCGAUCGAUCGUAAAGAAAUCUUUAAUAGAAGGAAAAAUGGAAUUUACGAUCGAAAUAUUCUGCGAUGAUUUGGACCGGCAACGAACAAACGUUUCGUUGAAACGGCACGAUCGGCACAAAAGGAGCAUCGAUCAUCGAGUCAAAUUGUUGAUCAUUGUGCAUUGUUACCCCGCGAGAAUUUUCUGAACCCGUUUUUCUUUUACCCGAUUCGUGCACGCGCGUACGCGCCGGUUUGAUGUUUGUAACGAGAGCGGUAAUAUUUCAUCGCGUCAGAGGAAAAUAUAUUCAAUGGGGAAUUCAAAGUAACGCUGUAGUUGGAAAGGGAAUAGUUUUAUCCGGAAUAUUAUAGAAAGACGCGUUAUUGCGUUUCGCGAAGGCGUUCUGACAAUGUAUCUAAAACUAGGGAAGAAAUUUAAUUUAAGUGAGGGAAAGAGUUCUCUCACUUUUAUUCGAAGAAAAGUUUUCACGAUGCUUUGUGGUUAUAUAAUCUCAGAUAUCGUUAAUUGCGUUAUAAAAGAAAUAUAAAUCGAUGUAAUUUGCGAAGACGACACUUUACCGAUAAAUAAAACAAAGUAAGGCAGUAAAUGUCUUUCUUACAUUUAUCUUGGAAGAAAACUUGAUUCUUUCAUUUCUCUUUACCAAUUAUCGUCGUCAAAAAUAGAAAAAAGAUAAUAUCCAUUUAUAUUUUUCUUUUACUUUUACAAUUAUUUAAAAUAUAGCAAAAUCGAUUGCUCCGUUUCUACUAUGUAUAAAAAAAAAGAAAAAAAAAGAAAGAAGGAAAAAACUAGAGUAUCCAAGAAAGUUUUAUCUCAACCAACUCAAUCUAAACCUGUCUUUAAGAAACAAAAAUGCAUUCCUCCACUCUUCCCAAUUAAACUUCUUUUCCCUCUCUCGAAGGAUUAAACGCGCCGAUCCAUCGCAGCGAUGCAAAACGGCUAUCAGGUUAUCUCGAUCGUUGUUUCUGUUUCGUAGAACGGUCCGAUGGCCAGGUAUCUCGAGCGUGCAACCUCCUCCACCCGUGAGAACAAAGGACAUCCGUAUUCGUGGAAUUCUUCUCUGCUCUGCGGUGGGACGCAUUCUCGACACGAACGAAGAUACUUACGCAGCCGUGUAUACACGGUCAAUGGCAACGCCUUUUCCUUUCUUCUCGACCCGCCACCGUUUCAUCCGUCUUCCGGUUUGGAAAAUUGCUCGACCAAGGACCAGUUUUUGGACCACGAUACUUUUACCGAUUUCUUGCACGCAUUGCAUAACACCGCGGUGGCAGGCAACAAAGGGCUCUUGUCGCUCUCCAAGCGAUCCCAUCCUCUCCGCAUAAUAUAAUACUAUAAACGUGGCCGAGUAAGGGACACUGUCACGCGGACUGGCCGGCAAGCGUUUCGUCACAGUCCGCGUGUGCGAUAAAUCGUUCCCGUUACGACAAGGACACACAAUGGGCAACGUGUUACACACGGUCUGCGUGCCACCAGCGAAGAUAAAUUAAAGAUCGAGGCAAAAAGAGAGGAGGCAACGCAACCGAGCCAAGGUGGUUGCCUUCCGAUCGAAAGGCACUCACUUCACCGUGAGACGACCCACCGGCAGACGACGACGUUCGCUUUUUAAUUAUAAUUCAUCAACACUUGCUAUUUCGCGUGUGCGCGAUCGAUUUUUAUUCUCCGUUAUACGUUGAAAGGAAGGAAUGGUUGCUGGGAUCGACGUGUGUGGCACCUUAAUCGUAUCGCCGCCAUUUGUAUUUCAGACGCUGAAAAAACGAGCUGUCAUCUUCCUUGGUUAUGAAUGAAUCGAACGCCAUUAUUCGUCCGCAAGGAAUCUGUAUUACAAGAUCGAAGGCAACGGAUAGAUCGUAUUAUUGUGGCUGAAAGAGAGCCUCUAUUGUGAUCUAAGGUCACACGGUUCACGAUCUGUAAAUUUGUCAUGAUUAAGGCACGACUAGAUUUCGUCGUAUUAAACGUGAUGCUGCAGGAGGAUCGAAUGAUCUUUAUAGAUAUCCGCCUAACAGAUUCUCCGGUAAAGAUCUAAAAUUAUAGUAAUUAUAUUUCGAUUCUCAUAUUUCAUUUAUAAUGUAAAUAUAUCUUUUUCGCGUGAAUUGAAAGUUAAAAGAGAGAAGGGAAAUUAAUAAUUUUAGAAGAUUCGUGCGAUAUUUCGACAAUUAGAAAUAUUUAAAUUCGAAUAAGUUAUAUCUUUUCAAAAUUUGAUGGAAUUUUUUACGCCAAAACGAUAAAAAUCCAAAAAAUCCUGAUUAUCGAAGUCAUCGUGCCAUAUUUCUUCAUACAACGUAUCAUGAAAGACAAUACGCCCUCGCAUUGAGUCAGCAGAGAAAAUAGCGAGGAAAGUAUUUUUCACGUGUGUACACGCAACAGAGCAUCACUUUUAAUCGUAGAAGAGGUAACUUAGUCACGUAUAAGCUUGAAACUCGAGCAUCGAAAGCAAAACGUUUUCUGAUUUCUGAUUAAUCGAUAACGAUAAAUUUAUAUCCAUUUCUACCAUUAACAAUUUAUACAGUGUUUCCAUUCCAUCGAGUAUAAUUGGAACUGUUAAUUCAGGAAAUCGCAAUUAACGCUGAAUCACGCCUGACAAUAGAAGCUACUACUAUUGGCCAUCGUCAUCCAAUAUUCAUUUCUAAUUAAUUAAAAAUCAUUUAUACAUAACAUUGGUACGACAAAAGUAAAAUGACAAAUUUCGUAUGUAUUUUCUUUUCUUUUAUUAUUUUGAGAAUUGUGAAAAUGGUUUUGGCAAGAUUAAUGUUACAUCUUGUUGAGAUUGAAAUAUAUAUACCUACUUGUUUUCAUAAUGAA